AUCAUCACUACACCACUCCCCUCCCACAAAAGCUGACCUGACCUGACAGGAGCUGGACUCUGAUUAGCAUGAGGAGACUGCUGCUUGACCAACAUUUAUUGCUCAUCACCCAUAUUGCAGUGCAUCUGGAGUCACGUGCAGGCUGGACCAGGCUCUUGGAGGGGAGGCUGUGGCCUUAAUCAGGAUGAAUAAAGACCACUGGAAGCAAUGCUGUUGUGCAGGCAAAUCAUACCAUACAAAGAUUUAACAGAGUGAACAAAGCAAGAAAUACAAAGUUACAACUGCAGAGAAAGUGGACAAAGAGCAAGAUCAACAUUAUAUUUCAAAUAUAAGAGGUCCAUGCAGAAUUCUAUUAACAGUGAGGAAGAAAC